GUCUACUCAGUCUUGAUAUACCAUAUGUUACAUAUGAUUAAUUUUUGUUUACUGUUUUUUUUUAUAACUAGAUGAGCAGAAGAUGCAUUCCAUGACUGACUCCCCAUAUGAUAUGAAAGAGAGCCCAUGAGAAUGGAACCAACUUUCAGUGUUACAAUGGAUGAACACUCCUCCUGUCACAAGUCCAUCUUGAUUCAGUAAAGUGGUAGUCUAUUUAUCUAGGAAGCAACGAGACGGAUCUGGACAAGGACCAUAUUGACUCAAGUUUUGGUGUCAGAAGACCAUUUUGAUUAAACAUGUUAAAAGCACCACAGAAGUAAGAAGCUAGGAUACCAGUUUUAUAAACUAAAGAGUCGAAAGGCCCAGCUGAAGAGAAAUUCCCAUUUCUCGACCAAGGACAAAAGAAAAGAUUAAAAAGGUGCUGACUAAGGAGGCAACGUCUCCAGAAGUAACGGAUGAUGAGGAAGCCACCCAGAGGAAGGUCUUACCAUUUAUAUGGGAGUCAUCCCUGCUGCGUAAUGUUAAGUGCGACCUGGACAGAGAGUAUGCUGAAUCUUUGCAACUUCAAUCAAAGAGACAAAAAGCCAAGGCCAUUAGAAGUAGAACAGAAAUGACUAUGGCCCCACCACCUAGGAGCAUUCAAGAGUGGGCCGUUUCCUCUACUUAUAAAUGAUGCUAUUACUGUUAAUAGUUAUAUUUAAUUUCCUCAUUUCUAGCUCACCUGAGUCAAAGGCUCAAGGUCACAAUUAAUACUUUUCUACCAUUAUAACCAGUUUUUAUGAAAUUUUAAUAAUGCUGUUGAAGGAGAAUUGCAAUUUUUUGGAUGUUUAUAAUUGACACUGUUUAAGUAUGUCUAGCAUCUUAAAAAGUGUGAUGACCUAUAUAUUUCAUUUGAUAAUUUAUUAAUUUUAACUUUAAUAAAUUGAAAUAAAUGCAUUUUUGAUACUUUUAUCAGAGAAUAUUGCAAGUAUGGAGUUACCUUGAUAUAUUUAUACAGAUUUGUUCUGCUUUAGUACUAGUGUAUCAGUAUUAUUACAUCAAGUUCAUUUGUGUGAAUAUUAUAAUAUUUAAGAAUGAAUAAAACUGUCAAAUUGUG